rnacentral:rRNA from 1 species
AUGCAGUCGAGCGAACAGACAAGGAGCUUGCUCCUUUGACGUUAGCGGCGGACGGGUGAGUAACACGUGGGUAACCUACCUAUAAGACUGGGAUAACUUCGGGAAACCGGAGCUAAUACCGGAUAAUAUUUCGAACCGCAUGGUUCGAUAGUGAAAGAUGGUUUUGCUAUCACUUAUAGAUGGACCCGCGCCGUAUUAGCUAGUUGGUAAGGUAACGGCUUACCAAGGCGACGAUACGUAGCCGACCUGAGAGGGUGAUCGGCCACACUGGAACUGAGACACGGUCCAGACUCCUACGGGAGGCAGCAGUAGGGAAUCUUCCGCAAUGGGCGAAAGCCUGACGGAGCAACGCCGCGUGAGUGAUGAAGGUCUUCGGAUCGUAAAACUCUGUUAUUAGGGAAGAACAUACGUGUAAGUAACUAUGCACGUCUUGACGGUACCUAAUCAGAAAGCCACGGCUAACUACGUGCCAGCAGCCGCGGUAAUACGUAGGUGGCAAGCGUUAUCCGGAAUUAUUGGGCGUAAAGCGCGCGUAGGCGGUUUUUUAAGUCUGAUGUGAAAGCCCCACGGCUCAACCGUGGAGGGUCAUUGGAAACUGGAAAACUUGAGUGCAGAAGAGGAAAGUGGAAUUCCAUGUGUAGCGGUGAAAUGCGCAGAGAUAUGGAGGAACACCAGUGGCGAAGGCGACUUUCUGGUCUGUAACUGACGCUGAUGUGCGAAAGCGUGGGGAUCAAACAGGAUUAGAUACCCUGGUAGUCCACGCCGUAAACGAUGAGUGCUAAGUGUUAGGGGGUUUCCGCCCCUUAGUGCUGCAGCUAACGCAUUAAGCACUCCGCCUGGGGAGUACGACCGCAAGGUUGAAACUCAAAGGAAUUGACGGGGACCCGCACAAGCGGUGGAGCAUGUGGUUUAAUUCGAAGCAACGCGAAGAACCUUACCAAAUCUUGACAUCCUUUGACAACUCUAGAGAUAGAGCCUUCCCCUUCGGGGGACAAAGUGACAGGUGGUGCAUGGUUGUCGUCAGCUCGUGUCGUGAGAUGUUGGGUUAAGUCCCGCAACGAGCGCAACCCUUAAGCUUAGUUGCCAUCAUUAAGUUGGGCACUCUAAGUUGACUGCCGGUGACAAACCGGAGGAAGGUGGGGAUGACGUCAAAUCAUCAUGCCCCUUAUGAUUUGGGCUACACACGUGCUACAAUGGACAAUACAAAGGGCAGCGAAACCGCGAGGUCAAGCAAAUCCCAUAAAGUUGUUCUCAGUUCGGAUUGUAGUCUGCAACUCGACUACAUGAAGCUGGAAUCGCUAGUAAUCGUAGAUCAGCAUGCUACGGUGAAUACGUUCCCGGGUCUUGUACACACCGCCCGUCACACCACGAGAGUUUGUAACACCCGAAGCCGGUG